AGAUUAGUGCCUGAUAAAAAGGAGUAUCCUGAUAGGGUAAAUUAUGCACACUAUGCCUUGUCUU
rnacentral:tRNA from 1 species